rnacentral:rRNA from 1 species
CCUACGGGGGGCAGCAGUGGGGAAUCUUGGACAAUGGGCGCAAGCCUGAUCCAGCCAUGCCGCGUGAAUGAUGAAGGCCUUAGGGUUGUAAAGUUCUUUCGUCGGGGACGAUAAUGACGGUACCCGAAGAAGAAGCCCCGGCUAACUUCGUGCCAGCAGCCGCGGUAAUACGAAGGGGGCUAGCGUUGUUCGGAAUUACUGGGCGUAAAGCGCGUGUAGGCGGGUCGUUAAGUCGGGGGUGAAAUCCCAGAGCUCAACUCUGGAACUGCCUUCGAUACUGGCGACCUGGACCCAAGUAGAGGCGAGUGGAAUUGCGAGUGUAGAGGUGAAAUUCGUAGAUAUUCGCAGGAACACCAGUGGCGAAGGCGACUCGCUGGACUUGUGGUGACGCUGAGACGCGAAAGCGUGGGUAGCAAACAGGAUUAGAUACCCUGGUAGUC